rnacentral:rRNA from 1 species
GAGUUUGAUCCUGGCUCAGAUUGAACGCUGGCGGCAGGCCUAACACAUGCAAGUCGAGCGGCAGCGGGAAAGUAGCUUGCUACUUUUGCCGGCGAGCGGCGGACGGGUGAGUAACACGUGGGCAACCUGCCUGUAAGACUGGGAUAACUUCGGGAAACCGGAGCUAAUACCGGAUAAUCCUUUUCCUUACAUGAGGAAAAGCUGAAAGAUGGUUUCGGCUAUCACUUACAGAUGGGCCCGCGGCGCAUUAGUUAGUUGGUGAGGUAACGGCUCACCAAGGCAACGAUGCGUAGCCGACCUGAGAGGGUGAUCGGCCACACUGGGACUGAGACACGGCCCAGACUCCUACGGGAGGCAGCAGUAGGGAAUCUUCCGCAAUGGACGAAAGUCUGACGGAGCAACGCCGCGUGAGUGAUGAAGGUUUUCGGAUCGUAAAACUCUGUUGUUAGGGAAGAACAAGUACCGGAGUAACUACCGGUACCUUGACGGUACCUAACCAGAAAGCCACGGCUAACUACGUGCCAGCAGCCGCGGUAAUACGUAGGUGGCAAGCGUUGUCCGGAAUUAUUGGGCGUAAAGCGCGCGCAGGUGGUUUCUUAAGUCUGAUGUGAAAGCCCCCGGCUCAACCGGGGGAGGGUCAUUGGGAAACUGGGAGACUUGAGUGCAGAAGAGGAAAGUGGAAUUCCAAGUGUAGCGGUGAAAUGCGUAGAGAUUUGGAGGAACACCAGUGGCGAAGGCGACUUUCUGGUCUGUAACUGACACUGAGGCGCGAAAGCGUGGGGAGCGAACAGGAUUAGAUACCCUGGUAGUCCACGCCGUAAACGAUGAGUGCUAAGUGUUAGGGGGUUUCCGCCCCUUAGUGCUGCAGCUAACGCAUUAAGCACUCCGCCUGGGGAGUACGCCGCAAGGCUGAAACUCAAAGGAAUUGACGGGGGCCCGCACAAGCGGUGGAGCAUGUGGUUUAAUUCGAAGCAACGCGAAGAACCUUACCAGGUCUUGACAUCCUCUGACAAUCCUAGAGAUAGGACGUUUCCCUUCGGGGAACAGAGUGACAGGUGGUGCAUGGUUGUCGUCAGCUCGUGUCGUGAGAUGUUGGGUUAAGUCCCGCAACGAGCGCAACCCUUGAUCUUAGUUGCCAGCAUUCAGUUGGGCACUCUAAGGUGACUGCCGGUGACAAACCGGAGGAAGGUGGGGAUGACGUCAAAUCAUCAUGCCCCUUAUGACCUGGGCUACACACGUGCUACAAUGGACAGAACAAAGGGCAGCGAAACCGCGAGGUUAAGCCAAUCCCACAAAUCUGUUCUCAGUUCGGAUCGCAGUCUGCAACUCGACUGCGUGAAGCUGGAAUCGCUAGUAAUCGCGGAUCAGCAUGCCGCGGUGAAUACGUUCCCGGGCCUUGUACACACCGCCCGUCACACCACGAGAGUUUGUAACACCCGAAGUCGGUGAGGUAACCGUAAGGAGCCUAGCCGCCUAAGGUGGGACUAGAUGAUUGGGGUGAAGUCGUAACAAGGUAACCGAAUCUUACU